rnacentral:snRNA from 1 species
ACAAAUCAUUACCAUUCAAA